GCCAGGGCCCCUGACCGUCCUCCCAGAAGCCUGGGCAGACCCAACCUAUUUCUGACUCCCUCACUUAAGCCAUUCCGCGAGCCUCUUGCUAACCCUGACCAGCUCUUCACGCUGCGUGUUUAAACGUCCCGAGCCUGCGGCCUUCUGGCACUUCCAUAGCUGCACACACUUUGAUCCUUGUUGAGAUUCUACAACCCUGGGUGUGUGGACUCCCAGCUCGGAUGUGCUAAGCCUGAGAGUGUACUUUUUCUACAAACAAAAGUUAACAGUGAAGCAGCCUCAGGCAGGUCCUGCAGGAGGUGUCCAGAAGAAGGCCUUGUGAUCACAGGAGGUGACAGCUCUGUGCAUUCAUCACGCUGAAGACCUGCCACUGGAACAAGGUAUGGAGGGGAAGAUGGCAAUCUUGAUGAUCCUGACCCAGUGCAGGCCUAGGCCAAUGUGUGUUUGUGUCUUCAUUUUUAACAAAAAAGUGUAAUAGGCUAAACAUUUGUUUAAAUUAAAAAUAUAAAAAGGAUAUAAAGAAAAUAAUUGUGUACAGCUGUAUAAUGUGUGCUUUAAGCUGAGUAUUAUUACAAAGUAAUCUAAAAGUCAAAAUAUAAAAGCCUAUAAAGUAAAAAAGUUACAGUAUACUAAGGUUAAUCUGUCACUAAAGCAAGAAAUUUUUAAAUAAAUUUGGUGCAGCCUCCACGUGCAGUGUGUAUAAAGCCUACAGCGGUGUACGGUCAUGUCCUGGCCUUCCCACUCAUUCCCCACUCACUCAUGGACUCACUAGAGCAGCCUGCGUGUGCAGUGUGUAUAAAGCCUACAGCAGCACGGUCAUGUCCUGGCUUCCCACUCACUCUCCACUCACUCAUGGACUCACCGGAGCAGCCUGCGUGUGCAGUGUGUAUAAAGCCUACAGCAGUAUACGGUCAUGUCCUGGCCUUCCCACUCACUCCCCACUCACUCAUGGACUCACCGGAGCAGCCUGCGUGUGCAGUGUGU
rnacentral:lncRNA from 10 species